rnacentral:rRNA from 1 species
CAGCCGCCGCGGUAAUACCGGCGGCCCGAGUGGCGGUCACUAUUAUUGGGCUUAAAGCGUCCGUAGCCGGGUUGGGAAGUCCUCCGGGAAAUCUGGCCGCUUAACGGUCAGAAUGCCGGAGGAUACUCCCAGCCUAGGGAGCGGGAGAGGCCGAGGGGAUUCCCGGAGUAGGGGGGAAAUCCUAUAAUCCCGGGAGGACCACCUGUGGCGAAGGCGCUCGGCUGGAACGCGUCCGACGGUGAGGGACGAAGGCCAGGGGAGCAAACCGGAUUAGAUACCCGGGUAGUCCUGGCUGUAAAGGAUGCGGGCUAGGUGUCGGGUGAGCUUCGAGCUCGCCCGGUGCCGUAGGGAAGCCGUUAAGCCCGCCGCCUGGGGAGUACGGCCGCAAGGCUGAAACUUAAAGGAAUUGGCGGG